GGCCAGGUGUUUUGGAAACAAUAGAUUUUGAACAUCUACUACAGAUGUUCGAUUCAUCUCCAG
rnacentral:tRNA from 1 species